UUGUUGGUAAGGUAAAAGCUUACCAAGGCUUCGAUCAGUAGCUGGUCUGAGAGGACGACCAGCCACACUGGGACUGAGACACGGCCCAGACUCCUACGGGAGGCAGCAGUGGGGAAUUUUGGACAAUGGGGGCAACCCUGAUCCAGCCAUGCCGCGUGAGUGAAGAAGGCCUUCGGGUUGUAAAGCUCUUUCAGCCGGAACGAAACGGUUACGGAUAACACCCGUGACUACUGACGGUACCGGAAGAAGAAGCACCGGCUAACUACGUGCCAGCAGCCGCGGUAAUACGUAGGGUGCGAGCGUUAAUCGGAAUUACUGGGCGUAAAGCGUGCGCAGGUGGUUUUGUAAGUCAGAUGUGAAAGCCCCGGGCUCAACCUGGGAACUGCGUUUGAAACUACAAGACUAGAGUGUGGCAGAGGGGGGUGGAAUUCCGCGUGUAGCAGUGAAAUGCGUAGAGAUGUGGAGGAACACCGAUGGCGAAGGCAGCCCCCUGGGUCAACACUGACGCCCAGGCACGAAAGCAUGGGGAGCAAACAGGAUUAGAUACCCUGGUAGUCCAUGCCCUAAACGAUGUCAACUAGUUGUCGGGCCUUUACGGGCUUGGUAACGUAGCUACGCGUGAAGUUGACCGCCUGGGGAGUACGAUCGCAAGAUUAAAACUCAAAUGAAUUGACGGGGACCCGCACAAGCGGUGGAUUAUGUGGAUUAAUUCGAUGCAACGCGAAAAACCUUACCUACCCUUGACAUGUAUCGAAGCCCGCAGAAAAGCGGGGGUGCCCGAAAGGGAACGAUAACACAGGUGCUGCAUGGCUGUCGUCAGCUCGUGUCGUGAGAUGUUGGGUUAAGUCCCGCAACGAGCGCAACCCUUGUCAUUAAUUGCCAUCAUUUAGUUGGGCACUUUAAUGAGACUGCCGG
rnacentral:rRNA from 1 species